AAUCUUCCGCAAUGGACGAAAGUCUGACGGAGCAACGCCGCGUGAGUGAAGAAGGUCUUCGGAUCGUAAAACUCUGUUAUCAGGGAAGAACAAGUACCGGAGUUACUGCCGGUACCUUGACGGUACCUGACCAGAAAGCCACGGCUAAUCACGUGCCAGCAGCCGCGGUAAUACGUAGGUGGCAAGCGUUGUCCGGAAUUAUUGGGCGUAAAGCGCGCGCAGGCGGUUCUUUAAGUCUGAUGUGAAAUCUUGCGGCUCAACCGUGAGCGGUCAUUGGAAACUGGAGAACUUGAGUGCAGAAGAGAAGAGCGGAAUUCCACGUGUAGCGGUGAAAUGCGUAGAGAUGUGGAGGAACACCAGUGGCGAAGGCGGCUCUUUGGUCUGUAACUGACGCUGAGGCGUGAAAGCGUGGGGAGCGAACAG
rnacentral:rRNA from 1 species